rnacentral:rRNA from 1 species
CUGUGAGCUCGAUGAGUAGGGCGGGACACGUGGUAUCCUGUCUGAAUAUGGGGGGACCAUCCUCCAAGGCUAAAUACUCCUGACUGACCGAUAGUGAACCAGUACCGUGAGGGAAAGGCGAAAAGAACCCCGGCGAGGGGAGUGAAAAAGAACCUGAAACCGUGUACGUACAAGCAGUGGGAGCACGCUUCGGCGUGUGACUGCGUACCUUUUGUAUAAUGGGUCAGCGACUUAUAUUCUGUAGCAAGGUUAACCGAAUAGGGGAGCCGAAGGGAAACCGAGUCUUAACUGGGCGUUAAGUUGCAGGGUAUAGACCCGAAACCCGGUGAUCUAGCCAUGGGCAGGUUGAAGGUUGGGUAACACUAACUGGAGGACCGAACCGACUAAUGUUGAAAAAUUAGCGGAUGACUUGUGGCUGGGGGUGAAAGGCCAAUCAAACCGGGAGAUAGCUGGUUCUCCCCGAAAGCUAUUUAGGUAGCGCCUCGUGAAUUCAUCUCCGGGGGUAGAGCACUGUUUCGGCAAGGGGGUCAUCCCGACUUACCAACCCGAUGCAAACUGCGAAUACCGGAGAAUGUUAUCACGGGAGACACACGGCGGGUGCUAACGUCCGUCGUGAAGAGGGAAACAACCCAGACCGCCAGCUAAGGUCCCAAAGUCAUGGUUAAGUGGGAAACGAUGUGGGAAGGCCCAGACAGCCAGGAUGUUGGCUUAGAAGCAGCCAUCAUUUAAAGAAAGCGUAAUAGCUCACUGGUCGAGUCGGCCUGCGCGGAAGAUGUAACGGGGCUAAACCAUGCACCGAAGCUGCGGCAGCGACACUAUGUGUUGUUGGGUAGGGGAGCGUUCUGUAAGCCUGUGAAGGUGUACUGUGAGGUAUGCUGGAGGUAUCAGAAGUGCGAAUGCUGACAUAAGUAACGAUAAAGCGGGUGAAAAGCCCGCUCGCCGGAAGACCAAGGGUUCCUGUCCAACGUUAAUCGGGGCAGGGUGAGUCGACCCCUAAGGCGAGGCCGAAAGGCGUAGUCGAUGGGAAACAGGUUAAUAUUCCUGUACUUGGUGUUACUGCGAAGGGGGGACGGAGAAGGCUAUGUUGGCCGGGCGACGGUUGUCCCGGUUUAAGCGUGUAGGCUGGUUUUCCAGGCAAAUCCGGAAAAUCAAGGCUGAGGCGUGAUGACGAGGCACUACGGUGCUGAAGCAACAAAUGCCCUGCUUCCAGGAAAAGCCUCUAAGCAUCAGGUAACAUCAAAUCGUACCCCAAACCGACACAGGUGGUCAGGUAGAGAAUACCAAGGCGCUUGAGAGAACUCGGGUGAAGGAACUAGGCAAAAUGGUGCCGUAACUUCGGGAGAAGGCACGCUGAUAUGUAGGUGAAGCGACUUGCUCGUGGAGCUGAAAUCAGUCGAAGAUACCAGCUGGCUGCAACUGUUUAUUAAAAACACAGCACUGUGCAAACACGAAAGUGGACGUAUACGGUGUGACGCCUGCCCGGUGCCGGAAGGUUAAUUGAUGGGGUUAGCGCAAGCGAAGCUCUUGAUCGAAGCCCCGGUAAACGGCGGCCGUAACUAUAACGGUCCUAAGGUAGCGAAAUUCCUUGUCGGGUAAGUUCCGACCUGCACGAAUGGCGUAAUGAUGGCCAGGCUGUCUCCACCCGAGACUCAGUGAAAUUGAACUCGCUGUGAAGAUGCAGUGUACCCGCGGCAAGACGGAAAGACCCCGUGAACCUUUACUAUAGCUUGACACUGAACAUUGAGCCUUGAUGUGUAGGAUAGGUGGGAGGCUUUGAAGUGUGGACGCCAGUCUGCAUGGAGCCGACCUUGAAAUACCACCCUUUAAUGUUUGAUGUUCUAACGUUG